UUAUAAGGAUCAAAGGCUAAGAACGCGACGUCAUGUCGCAACGCCUUUGUGACCCACAUCAUGCGGU
rnacentral:sRNA from 1 species